rnacentral:rRNA from 1 species
AGCGAACGCUGGCGGCAGGCCUAACACAUGCAAGUCGAGCGCCCGUAGCGAUACGGGAGCGGCAGACGGGAGAGUAACACGUGGGAACGUACCCUUUGGUUCGGAACAACACAGGGAAACUUGUGCUAAUACCGGAUACGUCCGUAAGGAGAAAGAUUUAUCGCCGAAGGAUUGGCCCGCGUCCGAUUAGCUAGUUGGUGGGGUAAAAGCCCACCAAGGCGACGAUCGGUAGCUGGUCUGAGAGGAUGAUCAGCCACACUGGGACUGAGACACGGCCCAGACUCCUACGGGAGGCAGCAGUGGGGAAUUUUGGACAA